rnacentral:rRNA from 1 species
GAUCAAGUUGAUUUGGUUUCUUACAUAACCGAAGAGAAUAAAAGAAGGAAGAGGAAAAGAAUUAUAUUGACAAAAUUAUACUUUGAAUCAAUUCUUCUUGGGAUGGCAUACCUUAGUUCAUUGAGAGCACCUCAUGGAUUAGGGAGUUUUAGUGAUGAUGAGCACAAACACUACCUUAGAAAGUACUUGCUGAAAGAUACAUAUGAUGGGUCUGAAGCUGCAUGCUAUGAUCAACUUCAUUUAACAAAAAGGAAUUUUCAUGAUUUGUGCAUCAUGUUGCGUGAGAAGUGUGGUGUACGGGACAUCGUGUAUGUUGUUGUGGAAGAAAAGGUUGCCAUGUUCUUGCUAGUAGUGGGCCAUGGACUGAAAAUGAGGUUGCUUCGAGGCACAUAUAAGUGAUGUUUGGGAACUAUUAGUACUCACUUUUCUGAGGUGUUAAGAGCCAUUCUAUCUUUGCAUGGGGAGUUCAUUAAGCUUCCUAAAGCUAAUGUACAACCUCCUGAUGAUUACAAAUAGAAGUGGUUUGGUGAUGCACUUGGAGCAUUAGAUGGUUGUCAUGUAGAUGUUUGUAUUCUUGUGGCUGCCCAAGGGAGGUAUAGGAAUAGGAAGCAAGUUGUUGAAUAA